rnacentral:SRP_RNA from 1 species
GCCGGGCGUCGUGGCGGGCGCUUGUAAACCAAGUUUCUGGGUGGCUGAGUUCGGCGGCGCGGUGCGGUGGCGGGUCAACGGUCCUGUCGCGGUGCUGCUGUAGACCGAGUGUCCGUAUCAAGGGCGGCGUCGACAAGGGAUGGCGGCCGAAGGGCUGCGAUUGCUGGUCGGUUAAAGAGAGAAGCACCGGCCCAGGCCCCACAGGGAGCAAGCCAAAUUCUCCGCGCCGUUACAGUGAACGGAUGGCGCUCGCGAGGCACACUCGGCAGGCUGCCGUCACGGUGUCGUCACUCGAAUUUUU